GUGUUUCAUAAUGGUUUUGAACUAUGAAGGAUUGGGAUUUUUAACAAAAAAAUGUAGAGAAAAGAAAAGGAAGGAUAAAGGAAAGAAGUGCCAAGGUGCUUUUGAGAUUCACAUCUCAGGAUUUACAUCCAAGGCUGCAUCACAGAAUACAAAAUUGGAAGACUCUAUAAAUGGAAACUUUCAAACAUCGCAUUUUGUUGAAGAUAGGCUAUUUUUUUAUAUAUAAAAACUUUCAAAUUUUAAUCAUCAACAAAUCUAGUCCUUAAUAGUCCUUCAUAGGAAAGAAUUUUUGUUCUACUAAAAUAAAAGAUCUUUUUUCUAAUAAUUAGGCUAUAAAAAAGAUUGACAAAUUAACUAAAUUUCUAGAUCAAGUAAAAUCCUAAUUUAUAACUUACCUUUUAAAAAUAAGGUUCAAAAUCUCUACUCAAUAAUUAGAAAAAAAUCUCCUUUAUUCAUUGGUUAAUUUGUGAUCUUCUAACUGAAUGUCGUGUUACAUGAUUACCAUGCAGUUCAGAUCGUGUUCUUCAAACACCUUUUCAGGGGUGGAUGAUGGCCAUUAGGAGUACAGAUCAUGGCACUUCUUAGUGGCUUUGCUGGGGUAUAUACAGAGGUACUUA